rnacentral:rRNA from 1 species
GAUCCUGGCUCAGGAUGAACGCUAGCGACAGGCUUAACACAUGCAAGUCGAGGGGCAGCAUGAGGUAGCAAUACCUUGAUGGCGACCGGCGCACGGGUGAGUAACGCGUAUGCAACCUGCCCGAUACCGGGGUAUAGCCCAUGGAAACGUGGAUUAACACCCCAUAGUACUUUUAUCCUGCCUGGGAUGGGAGUUAAAUGUUCGAGGUAUCGGAUGGGCAUGCGUCCUAUUAGUUAGUUGGG